rnacentral:rRNA from 1 species
GACGUAGGGCGCGAGCGUUGUCCGGAUUUAUUGGGCGUAAAGAGCUCGUAGGCGGCUUGUCGCGUCGACUGUGAAAAUCCCGCGGCUCAACUGCGGGUCUGCAGUCGAUACGGGCAGGCGUAGAGUUCGGUAGGGGAGACUGGAAUUCCUGGGUGUAGCGGUGAAAUGCGCAGAUAUCAGGAGGAACACCCGGUGGCGGAAGGCGGGUCUCUGGGCCGGCAUUGGACGCUGGAGGCGCGACAGCGUGGGGAGCAAACAGG